CUUCCCAUUAAUUUACUGCUCAGUCUGGCGGUGAUUUGAGUAGUUAUACGCGUGGGAUACAGUGACAUUUAGGGCCUUUGUAAAUGGGGGUGAAGUGGCUGUUUUCAUCCCCUCUGCAUGGGCUCCACAUCA